GUGUCAGCAGCCGCGGUAAUACGUAGGGGGCGAGCGUUGUUCGGAUUUACUGGGCGUAAAGAGCGCGUAGGUGGUCCGACAAGUCGGAGGUGAAAUCCCUCGGCUCAACCGAGGAUCCGCGUCCGAUACUGUCGGACUUGAGUGCAGGAGAGGAGAGCGGAAUUCCCAGUGUAGCGGUGAAAUGCGUAGAUAUUGGGAGGAACACCGGUGGCGAAGGCGGCUCUCUGGACUGUUACUGACACUGAGGCGCGAAAGCUAGGGGAGCAAACGGGAUUAGAAACCCCCGUAGUCC
rnacentral:rRNA from 1 species